AGCGAACGCUGGCGGCAGGCCUAAUACAUGCAAGUCGAACGCACCUUCGGGUGAGUGGCGGACGGGUGAGUAACGCGUGGGAACGUGCCCUUUGGUACGGAACAACUGAGGGAAACUUCAGCUAAUACCGUAUGUGCCCUUCGGGGGAAAGAUUUAUCGCCAUUGGAGCGGCCCGCGUUGGAUUAGGUAGUUGGUGGGGU
rnacentral:rRNA from 1 species